GCUGUGACCCCAAUAACAGACUUCUCGUUCUCGGCUCGGCUCGGCGGCGGGCGGCGGGGCGGUGGAAGGAGAGAAGGAGCGACGACAGUUACCCUGACAGCUUCGGCAACCAGUGUGUCAUGUGCGUUGGUAGCGGCCGGAUCGGGUCCGUGUGCGGUGUGCCGUGUUCGAUUCGAGUGCCGAGUGCACUUGUGCCGUCGCCGUCUGCGUGUGGAGUGCACGGUGCACCCAGUGUGCGCCAGCCAGUGUUUUGAUGCACCCGCCAUGUUGUGAAUUGUGAAUGAGAUGUGUGUGGCUUGUCUUGCUUGUCUGUGUGAUGAAGUCUACGAGCGAAUCUUUGCAUUGGAUACCAUGAACCUCCAGCGACGACCGCGUUGGGGCGCCUGAACUCUGCCAAACAAGGUGGCGGCGAUGCAGGACGGUGUCCGGGACGGAGCCCGGCGCGCGCCGCAGGGUGCAGGCGCCCCAGGGACCCCAGGGGGCCCGGCG